GAACUUCCAGGAGGCGCUUGGCUGGUGAGGGGACCGGGACUGAAGUGGGACCCGCACCUGUGGGUCAGCCGGGCUCACCCCGUGUGUCCCUGGGGCUCUCACUGGCUCAGGGACAUGCCCUGCAGCAGCGUGUGCAGGGAUCUGCGCUAAGGCACUUGCCUCCAACAGGCAUGGUAGGAUUACUGCUGGCUUGCAGUGCGCCACAUCCAACCUGUGCUUCGAGUCACAGCCCUGUGCCUGACCUUCGGAAGAGCUGCAAGGUCAGCGCAGGAGUGGCGGUGCCAGUGGAGACAGACCUUGAGUUUCCUGCCCAGAGAGUUCAGCUUCAGAAGUGAAAAAGUCUCUGCAAUACCUGGAAAUGCAGGACAGGCAUCAAGAUUAUAUUUUUUCCUCUUCUCUGCCCAUGCGGAGAUCUUGGCAGCAUCGGGAGGAUGCAGUGGCCUCCCGGGUGUGGCCUCUGUGGUUCCUCACCUGCAGCAUUGGAAGAAUUCCCUGCAGCUCCAUCCUUGAGACUUCCUGGGACCUGUCUGCAUUUCCUGCUUUCUGCAGCUCGAUGGAGCUGGAUGCUCAAGAGCAGAGGAUCUAUCAACUGCAGACCAAGCAGAGGGAGAGGCAGGCAGAACUGGAGCAGAAAUGCAGCCGGAUCCAGCAGCUCAGCCAGGACCUGAGGCCAGCCAUCUGCUGCAGGAGGAAGCUCUGAAGCAGUGAUAAUCUACUGUUCUGUUUACAUGGUGGCAUAAGGAAAGCCUAAAGAAAGAUGCAAAAGUAGAGUGUCAACUCCCAGUGAGGAGGGGAAAGCCCAGGGAACCGGGAGACACCUACAGCUCUGCUGACUGUAAAUAGGUGCUGGCACUGCCCUUAAUUUGAGGGUGUGACUGCUGUAGUGCACGGAUAUCCUGGAGAUGUUGCUCCCACUGCUGACCACCUCGGAGAGAAGGGAACAGGGCAGCCAGCAGAGACAGUGCCAUACAGGACAGUGCUGUCCUCGCUGGUGGUAGCAGUGACAUGCAGUGAGCCAGGAGACAAGCCUUGUUCAGCUCUGCUGCGGAUGAACUCCUCUGCUUGCUGCAGGAUGUGCUGACUGUGAAGACGGGAGCACCCUCAUGGCCCUACGGCCCUGGCCGGAGGCCUGUGGGGCAGCACAUGUGCCAGCCCUCCCCAUGCCGGUCUCUGCCCCUGCCCUGCUACAGCUCCUCUCUUCCCAUGCCUGUAUUUCAAGCUGCCAGGAGUCAGAGCAUUUGCUCAGUGUAUUCCUUCUGCAUGUGAAUAUCUGGCUUGGGUGAGCGUGCCGCUCUCCCGUCUCCUCAGACACAGGCUUGUCUGCUUGAUGUCCACUUGGGCACCUGCAGUCAUGAGCAGAUUUUGACCACAAGCUGUCAUUCAGAUCCAUAUGGCAGAGAUGAAGAGAGCUGAUCCUGGAAAUCUGUGCAGCUACUGCUGCUGCACACUGCAGGAUUACUUGCUUAACCUGCAUCUCUCCUCCAAGGUACCAACUUUGAAUCUCUUUCAGCACCCCAUAAGCCAGAAACAUUAUAUCUGUUUUAACAACUUGAUAGUUAAAUACUCUCAGUGUUCUGGGAGACUAAACCAGGUACUCUUGAUACUGGAGUAUUGGGUACCAGCAUGCUGGAUAGGAGGAAUAAGCUCAGCACAGCUGGUUUGUCUGAGCAGCAUUUUAAAAUUGGGGAGGGAUGCCCUUAUUAUUCUAAGUGGAAGCAUUUAAUUUCACUUAAUUUGGUGAUAGUGAAUAGGUAUGUAUGAAUUCGAACGUGUAUGAAAAAUAUAUGACUAUGAUGCAAUGAUUAUGUUCAUUGCAUUUGAAGGAACAUAAUGAGAUAUUGUUCCAUUUACUGCCCAGUCCUCCAUUGUUCUCUGUGUGUGUGUGUGGCUGAGCUGCUUGCUGCAAGCCUGCUCUGUGGCUGCCACUGGUGAAGCUGGAUGUGGGAAGUUUGUGUCCCUUUGUCUGUGUUCAUGGAUGCUGGAGCACAAAUGGAUCUGCCAGUGUGUCAGCGGGUGCCUGUGCUUUGUUCUGGCUAUGUAUACAGGUGACCAUGUAUUGAUUUGUGCAAGGACACCAUGGCAGGGCUGGAAUCAUACUUCUGUUUCAUCUUACAGGUAGUCUUUCUCCCUUCGCAUCCUUCCAUGCAUUGAUACUGAGCUCAGACGAGCCUAGCUGCUUGGUUUUGGUGUGAAAGUGGCAGAUAAACCAACCCA
ensembl:lncRNA